rnacentral:rRNA from 1 species
GAUGAACGCUGGCGGCGUGCCUAAUACAUGCAAGUCGAGCGAACAGACGAGGAGCUUGCUCCUCUGACGUUAGCGGCGGACGGGUGAGUAACACGUGGAUAACCUACCUAUAAGACUGGGAUAACUUCGGGAAACCGGAGCUAAUACCGGAUAAUAUAUUGAACCGCAUUGUUCAAUAGUGAAAGACGGUUUUGCUGUCACUUAUAGAUGGAUCCGCGCCGCAUUAGCUAGUUGGUAAGGUAACGGCUUACCAAGGCGACGAUGCGUAGCCGACCUGAGAGGGUGAUCGGCCACACUGGAACUGAGACACGGUCCAGACUCCUACGGGAGGCAGCAGUAGGGAAUCUUCCGCAAUGGGCGAAAGCCUGACGGAGCAACGCCGCGUGAGUGAUGAAGGUCUUCGGAUCGUAAAACUCUGUCAUUAGGGAAGAACAAAUGUGUAAGUAACUAUGCACGUCUUGACGGUACCUAAUCAGAAAGCCACGGCUAACUACGUG